rnacentral:rRNA from 1 species
CUGGCGGCGUGCCUAACACAUGCAAGUCAACUUGACUGAAGGAGCAAUCUGACAGUAGAGUGGCGCAAGGGUGCGUAACGCGUUAAGUAACUUGCCCAAGGUAAGAAUAACGUCGAGAAAUCGGCGCUAAUACCUCAUAAUGCAGCGGAUCCGCAUGGAUAUGUUGUUAAAGGUUUACCGCCUUGGGAUAGGCUUGCGUCUGAUUAGCUAGUUGGUGUGGUAACGGCACACCAAGGCUACGAUCAGUAACUGGUCUGAGAGGAUGAUCAGUCACACUGGAACUGAGACACGGUCCAGACUCCUACGGGAGGCAGCAGUGAGGAAUAUUGGGCAAUGCUCGAAAGAGUGACCCAGCAACGCCGCGUGGAGGAUGAAGGUAUUCUAUAUCGUAAACUCCUGUGAGAGCAGACGAAAGACAGAUUAUUAAUCUGGAUGACUGUAUGCUCAGAGGAAGCCCCGGCUAACUACGUG